rnacentral:pre_miRNA from 1 species
AGUGGGAUUGCUGGGUCAAAUGGUGGUUCCAUUCCUAGUUUCCUGAGGAAUCUCCAUACUGCUUUCCAGACUGAUUGCACCAUUUGCAGUCCCACCAGCAAU